rnacentral:rRNA from 1 species
UACGUAGGGUGCAAGCGUUGUCCGGAAUUAUUGGGCGUAAAGAGCUCGUAGGCGGUUUGUCGCGUCUGCUGUGAAAACCCGAGGCUCAACCUCGAACUUGCGGUGGGUACGGGCAGACUAGAGUGUGGUAGGGGAGACUGGAAUUCCUGGUGGUAGCGGUGAAAUGCGCAGAUAUCAGGAGGAACACCGAUGGCGAAGGCAGGUCUCUGGGCCACUACUGACGGCUGAGAAGCGAAAGCAUGGGGAGCGAACAGG